UACGUAGGGUGCAAGCGUUGUCCGGAAUUAUUGGGCGUAAAGAGCUCGUAGGCGGUCUGUUGCGUCGGCUGUGAAAAACCCGGGGCUCAACCCCCGGGCCUGCAGCCGAUACGGGCAGACUAGAGUUCGGCAGGGAGACUGGAAUUCCUGGUGUAGCGGUGAAAUGCGCAGAUAUCAGGAGGAACACCGGUGGCGAAGGGCGGGUCUCUGGGCCCGAUACUGACGCUGAGGAGCGAAAGCGUGGGAGCGAACA
rnacentral:rRNA from 1 species